rnacentral:rRNA from 1 species
CCUACGGGGGGCUGCAGUGGGGAAUCUUGCGCAAUGGGCGAAAGCCUGACGCAGCGACGCCGCGUGCGGGAAGAAGGCCUUAGGGUUGUAAACCGCUUUCAGGAGGGACGAAGCCACUCGGGUGAAUAGCCCAGAGGGUGACGGUACCUCCAGAAGAAGCCCCGGCUAACUACGUGCCAGCAGCCGCGGUAAUACGUAGGGGGCAAGCGUUGUCCGGAUGUGCGGGGCGUAAAGAGCGUAGGUCCGUUGAGAAAACUGGGGGCUCAACCUUGAGACGUCGACCGAAACCCCCUGGCUAGAGUCCGGGAGAGGAGAGUGGAAUUCCUGGUGUAGCGGUGGAAUGCGCAGAUAUCAGGAAGAACACCCGUGGCGAAAGCGGCUCUCUGGAACGGUACUGACGCUGAGACGCGAAAGCGUGGGGAGCGAACAGGAUUAGAUACCCUGGUAGUC